rnacentral:rRNA from 1 species
CCCUUAGAUGUUCUGGGCCGCACACGCGCUACACUGAAGGAGGCAGCGUGUACUCCUGGAUCGAAAGAUUUGGGUAACCCGCGAAUCUCCUUCGUGCUAGGGAUUGAGGUUUGCAAUUAUCCUUCAUGAACGAGGAAUUCCCAGUAAGUGCAAGUCAUAAGCUUGCGCUGACUACGUCCCUGCCUUUUGUACACACCGCCCGUCGCUACUACCGAUUGAAUGAUUUAGUGAGGACUUCGGACUGGGACCGAUGCGGCUUUCGGGCUGCGUCGGUAUUCUGGAAAGAUGUCCAAACUGUAUCAUUUAGAGGAAGUAAAANUCGUANCA